GAAGAAUCACGGCUUCGCAGUGCGCACACGGGGAGCUUGCUCCCAGAGAUGCUGUAAGGAAAGUCCCCGCGACUUUGCAUGCCAUGUACAGCUUGGAUGGAUUCUCAUUUGGAUCUCGAGAUGGUGAAGGGCAACGGCGCCUUCGUUUCGGGGGGCAGGGGAAUGCCUUGGUGCAGAGAGUGCGAGUGCGGGUGACCACAGGGAGACCGCAGGGCUCGUGCCAGACUUCCGGCUCGUGCCAGACCUCCAGUGGUGAUGCUUCUCGUGGCGGGCGCGGGCCCUUAGCAGCAGCACAGACAUGCCGUGAGCGCUCAUGAUUGGAGUGGUGCUUGGCGCAGCUGUCUUGAAGGCUUCGACCUGGCUUUGUUGCGAGGAAACCUCCAGUGGUGAUGCUUCUCGCAGAGCCUUGGUGGCGGGCUCGGGCCCGUCGCAGCAGCACAGACAUGCCGUGAGCGCUCAUGAUUUGAGCACCAACAGAACGGGGCUCGCUCUCC
rnacentral:RNase_MRP_RNA from 14 species